rnacentral:rRNA from 1 species
UACGAAGGGGGCUAGCGUUGUUCGGAAUUACUGGGCGUAAAGCGUAUGUAGGCGGAUCGUUAAGUCCGCUGUGAAAGUCCAGGGCUCAACCCUGGGAUGCCGGUGGAUACUGUCGGGCUCGAGUCCGGAAGAGGCGAGUGGAGCUGCGAGUGUAGAGGUGAAAUUCGUAGAUAUUCGCAAGAACACCAGUGGCGAAGGCGGCUCACUGGCCCGGUACUGACGCUGAGGUGCGAAAGCGUGGGGAGCAAACAGG